UACGAAGGGGGCUAGCGUUGUUCGGAUUUACUGGGCGUAAAGCGCACGUAGGCGGAUCGAUCAGUCAGGGGUGAAAUCCUGGAGCUCAACUCCAGAACUGCCUUUGAUACUGAAGAUCUUGAGUUCGGGGGAGGUGAGUGGAACUGCGAGUGUAGAGGUGAAAUUCGUAGAUAUUCGCAAGAACACCAGUGGCGAAGGCGGCUCACUGGCCCGAUACUGACGCUGAGGCACGAAAGCGUGGGGAGCAAACAGG
rnacentral:rRNA from 1 species